CACACAGAGAGAAAAAAAGUGAAAAAUAUGCUGCAAAGUGUGCAUACUGUACUAUAUGAGAAUGUACAGGGAGUCAAGCAUGACUGGGAAAUACAUAAUAAGGUAAUCACAUAUCAGAUGUUUUAUUUUUCAUUACAAUCCUUCAAUUCAUUCCAAAUCUACCGAUAAGCUCUUACUGAUAUACAAUGACAAGUGUACUGAGAUUCAUAUGCAUGCUUUCUCAUCCAUAAUACAUAUAUACUGUAGUAACAUGUGAUCUUUGUGCAAGAUUUAAUAUACAAAGAAACAGCUGCCCAGAUGACACUGACUAGAUUUGCUCACGUGUGCCACACAACAUUCCCUCAGUAAAAGAAAUGUUUAUACCGUAAGGGCCGUAUUCAGAGUCGACAGUUUAUGUCCAACAGUUACGUGGAUAUUUACACAGGGAAAUUUGUGGAGUCUGGUUAUGCGCCUUCUUAAGUCGAAUUUCUGGGUGUAUUGUCAUAAUUAUGUAUUUAAUAUCUGCAUGUCAUAAUUCUCUGAGAGUAUUUACAGCCCAAAACAUGAAUUACACCAUGACAUAUUCUGAUUAUAUCAAGCUGUGAAUCCGAUAUUGUGCAAAAAAAAAACAAAAAAAAAAAAACAGCUUAAGUUUAAGGUCGGAAUCACGCUUAACUGAGCCACACCUCUGUUUUAUUCAAGCUUCACCCUGCAUGUGUAACUCCCGCAUCACUUGUGACUAGUUCUUAAAUCUGGAUACCAAUUCAGGGAUAAAAACUUCACUACCCGUGCAGAACUCCACUCUGAAUACAGCCCAAAUUUAUAUAUUUCCUAUCCGAUUUUAAUAUAUGACCAGUGGGUACUGUAUUACAUUUUUAACAAGAUCUGUUAAAUAUCUACCUGAAAGUUGAUAGUAAAGAUGGCUUGCAGAAUUUCAAAACAGUUAUCCAAAUGAGCAAGCAUUAAACAUGUAUAAUUAUUACACUACGGCAUCGUAUACACCGCAAUACAUUUAUAGCAAGACAUGCAAUAGUAUUUUUUAUUUUUAUUUUUUAUCAGUAGUGGUACCACCGUCUUUUCCUAUAGAAAGAAUUUUAUUGUAUUUCUUUUUCAAUGCUGUUAUAAUGUUAAGUAUGAUAUUUCAUAACCUACAUCGCUCAGGUUGAAUACUGUACCAUUUAUGGACCGGAUGCAACUACUCAGAUAUUUUCUUUUGUUUUUCUUUUCUUUUCUUUUCUUUUUUUUUUAUCAUUGCCAGUCCUUAUAAACACACCCUAACACAAUUCCAUUCGAUAUCGUUACUAGAUACAAUCAGAUACAGACACUUCUUACUAUUUAAAAAAACAACAUUACUCUAGGAGUCCACUUGAAAUAUGACAGUUCCUUUUUCAUGGGUGGAU
ensembl:lncRNA